rnacentral:rRNA from 1 species
AGUCAAGUAAUUAAGUGCAUGUGGUGGAUGCCUUGGCAGUCAGAGGCGAUGAAAGACGUGAUAGCCUGCGAAAAGCUCCGGGGAGGCGGCAAAUAUCCUUUGAUCCGGAGAUGUCUGAAUGGGGGAACCCACCUACUUUAAGGUAGGUAUUGCAACAUGAAUACAUAGUGUUGCAAGGCGAACGAGGGGAAGUGAAACAUCUCAGUACCCUUAGGAAAAGAAAUCAAUUGAGAUUCCCUCAGUAGCGGCGAGCGAACGGGGAUCAGCCCAUUAAGUUAUGUGUGUUUUAGUGGAACGCUCUGGGAAGUGCGAACGUAGAGGGUGAUAUUCCCGUACACGAAAGGGCACACAUAAUGAUGACGAGUAGGGCGAGGCACGUGAAACCUUGUCUGAAUAUGGGGGGACCAUCCUCCAAGGCUAAAUACUCCUGACUGACCGAUAGUGAACCAGUACCGUGAGGGAAAGGCGAAAAGAACCCCUGUGAGGGGAGUGAAAUAGAUCCUGAAACCGCAUGCAUACAAGCAGUGGGAGCACCUUCGUGGUGUGACUGCGUACCUUUUGUAUAAUGGGUCAGCGACUUAUAUUCAGUAGCGAGGUUAACCGUAUAGGGGAGCCGUAGAGAAAUCGAGUCUUAAUAGGGCGUUUAGUUGCUGGGUAUAGACCCGAAACCAGGCGAUCUAUCCAUGAGCAGGUUGAAGGUUGGGUAACACUAACUGGAGGACCGAACCCACUGUCGUUGAAAAGCCAGGGGAUGACUUGUGGAUAGGGGUGAAAGGCUAAUCAAGCCUGGUGAUAGCUGGUUCUCCCCGAAAGCUAUUUAGGUAGCGCCUCGGACGAAUACCAUAGGGGGUAGAGCACUGUUUCGGCUAGGGGGUCAUCCCGACUUACCAAACCGAUGCAAACUCCGAAUACCUAUGAGUACUAUCCGGGAGACAGACUGCGGGUGCUAACGUCCGUAGUCAAGAGGAAAACAAUCCAGACCGCCAGCUAAGGCCCCAAAAUCAUAGUUAAGUGGGAAACGAUGUGGGAAGGCAUAGACAGCUAGGAGGUUGGCUUAGAAGCAGCCACCCUUUAAAGAAAGCGUAAUAGCUCACUAGUCGAGUCGGCCUGCGCGGAAGAUGUAACGGGGCUAAAACUAUGUGCCGAAGCUGCGGAUGUAUACUUUGUAUACGUGGUAGGGGAGCGUUCUGUAAGCCGAUGAAGGUGUGUUGAGAAGCAUGCUGGAGGUAUCAGAAGUGCGAAUGCUGACGUGAGUAACGACAAAACGGGUGAAAAACCCGUUCGCCGAAAGACCAAGGGUUCCAGUCCAACGUUAAUCGGGGCUGGGUGAGUCGACCCCUAAGGCGAGGCCGAAAGGCGUAGUCGAUGGGAAAAUGGUUAAUAUUCCAUUACUUCUGUGUAAUGCGAUGAGAGGAUGGAGAAGGCUAAAUCAGCCUGGCGUUGGUUGUCCAGGUGAAAGGAUGUAGGCAUGUAUCUUAGGCAAAUCCGGGGUACUCUAUGCUGAGAUCUGAUAGCAAGCUGUACUUGUAC